rnacentral:lncRNA from 1 species
GAGGAGGACUUGCCGGAAUCGGAGGACUCCCUGGAUUGGGAGGACCCUCAGGAAUUAGUGGAGGAGGACUUCCAGGAAUCGGAGAACUUCCAAAAAUAGGAACACUUCCUAAAAUCGGAGGACCUUCGGGAAUUGGAGGAGGAGGACUUCCAGGAUUAGGAGCACUUCCAAAAAUCGGAGGACCUUCAGGAAUAGGAGGUCCUCCAGGAAUUGGAGGACUUCCCAAAAUCGGAGGACCUUCGGGAAUUGGAGGAGGAGGACUUCCAGGUUUAGGAGCACUUCCAAAAAUCGGAGGACCUUCAGGAAUAGGAGGUCCUCCAGGAAUUGGAGAACUUCCCAAAAUCGGAGGACCUUCGGGAAUUGGAGGAGGAGGACUUCCAGGAUUAGGAGCACUUCCAAAAAUCGGAGGACCUUCAAGAAUAGGAGGUCCUCCAGGAAUUGGAGGACUUCCCAAAAUCGGAGGACCUUCGGGAAUUGGAGGAGGAGGACUUCCAGGUUUAGGAGCACUUCCAAAAAUCGGAGGACCUUCAGGAAUAGGAGGUCCUCCAGGAAUUGGAGGACUUCCCAAAAUCGGAGGACCUUCGGGAAUUGGAGGAGGAGGACUUCCAGGAUUAGGAGCACUUCCAAAAAUCGGAGGACCUUCAGGAAUAGGAGGUCCUCCAGGAAUUGGAGGACUUCCCAAAAUCGGAGGACCUUCGGGAAUUGGAGGAGGAGGACUUCCAGGUUUAGGAGCACUUCCAAAAAUCGGAGGACCUUCGGGAAUUGGAGGACUUCCAGGAAUAGGAGCACUUCCAAAAUUUGGAGGUCCUCCAGGAAUUGGAGGAGGAGGACUUCCAGGAUUUGGACUUCCUGGAAUUGGAGGGAAAGGAGGAGUUUUUAAAACUGAAAGACUCCCUUGAUCUAACUAAUUAAUUAUUAAAGAAUAUCUAUGAAGAAUAUCCAAGGUGGUUAUAUAUAUAUAGGUAAUAAUUUUGUUGCUGAAAGUAUGAAUAAAUGUAUAUGACAAAAGAUUGUGUUGGAGUGAUAACUAAUUUUUUAUUUUUAAUUAGAUGCUUCAAACCUGGAUAUGCAUGUAAUGGCUUUUGACAGGAAGCACUUUAUCUUUGAUGUGUAACUUUUCGAUAUGAAUUUGAAUAAACUAGACUCAAAUACAAA